rnacentral:rRNA from 1 species
GAUGGACGCUGGCGGCGUGCCUAAUACAUGCAAGUCGAGCGAAUGGAUUGAGAGCUUGCUCUCAAGAAGUUAGCGGCGGACGGGUGAGUAACACGUGGGUAACCUGCCCAUAAGACUGGGAUAACUCCGGGAAACCGGGGCUAAUACCGGAUAACAUUUUGAACUGCAUGGUUCGAAAUUGAAAGGCGGCUUCGGCUGUCACUUAUGGAUGGACCCGCGUCGCAUUAGCUAGUUGGUGAGGUAACGGCUCACCAAGGCAACGAUGCGUAGCCGACCUGAGAGGGUGAUCGGCCACACUGGGACUGAGACACGGCCCAGACUCCUACGGGAGGCAGCAGUAGGGAAUCUUCCGCAAUGGACGAAAGUCUGACGGAGCAACGCCGCGUGAGUGAUGAAGGCUUUCGGGUCGUAAAACUCUGUUGUUAGGGAAGAACAAGUGCUAGUUGAAUAAGCUGGCACCUUGACGGUACCUAACCAGAAAGCCACGGCUAACUACGUGCCAGCAGCCGCGGUAAUACGUAGGUGGCAAGCGUUAUCCGGAAUUAUUGGGCGUAAAGCGCGCGCAGGUGGUUUCUUAAGUCUGAUGUGAAAGCCCACGGCUCAACCGUGGAGGGUCAUUGGAAACUGGGAGACUUGAGUGCAGAAGAGGAAAGUGGAAUUCCAUGUGUAGCGGUGAAAUGCGUAGAGAUAUGGAGGAACACCAGUGGCGAAGGCGACUUUCUGGUCUGUAACUGACACUGAGGCGCGAAAGCGUGGGGAG